GAUGUACUCCCUCCGUCCGGAAAUACUUGUCCGAGAAAUACAUAAAAAUGGAUGCGCAAAGAACCAAGCAGAUUGCCCCAGUGGAUAAAUAAGGAAUACAGAAACAAAAACAACAAUUGGACUAAGACCAAUAUACAUCUAGAUACAUCCAUUUCUCCGACAAGUAUUUCCGAACGGAGGGAGUAAGAG
rfam:Triticum aestivum genome assembly, contig: Triticum_aestivum_CS42_TGACv1_scaffold_500368_6BL